rnacentral:rRNA from 1 species
CUACAGCCUCAGAUCAGACGUGGCGACCCGCUGAAUUUAAGCAUAUUACUAAGCGGAGGAAAAGAAACUAACCAGCAUUCCCUGAGUAAAGGCGAGUGAAGAGGUAAUAGCCUAGUGCUGAAUCCCCGUUCAGCGGCAGGUGUGGGAAAUGUGGCGUACAGAAGACUGACUCCCUGGUGUCGCUCAGCGGGCUCAAGUCCUUCUGAUCAAGUCUCACCCAGCGGACAGUGUUAGGCCGGUAGCGGCCUACGGCACGCUGGGAUCGGGUCUUCUCUCAGUUUGGUUGCUUGAGAAUGCAGCCCAAAGUGGGUGGUAAACUCCAUCUAAGGCUAAAUAUGUGCACAAGACCGAUGGCCAACAAGUACAGUAAGGUAAAGUUGAAAAGAACUUUGAAUAGAGAAUUAGGCGUGAAACUGCAGGAUUCAACACGGCGGACAGGUUGUUCGCCUGGAACGGCGGAUGCCCUUGCAGGACUGCCACCUGAGCAUACCCGGCCUUUGCAGGGUGCAUUUCGUCUGUGGCAGUGCACCGCAACCAGCUCCAAGUCGGCUGGGAAGGCCGCAGAUGGCUCUCUGCUCUGGCAGAGAGUGUUACAGCCCCCUGACAACCAUUUUGCUGUGUCUGCUGGGCCGAAGGAGAUUGACCGCUACCGUGCCCAUCCCGCCACCUCUUGGGGGUCGCCAGGGCGGCAACGGGAGACGGGGCUCCCGAUGCGACUGUCGACUGUGGUGAUCUGUCCUCAGUGCACCCCAAACACGUUGCGCCGCUGGACGGGGAUGCCCACGAAGGGUCCCAGGGGUCUAAGGUGAUGUCGGUUACCCACCCAACCCGUCUUGAAAUACGGACCAAAGAGACUAACACGUGCGUGAGUCGGAGGGCCGAACAAAACCCUGUGCUGCAAUGAAGGUGAGGGCCGGUGCAUGCCGGCUGUGGUAAUAUCCCGUCGUUGGGGGCACCACCAGCCCGUCUCGCCCACUCUGUCAUGGAGGUGGAGCAUGAGUGUGUGUGAUAGGACCCGAAAGGUGGUGAACUAGGCCUGGGCAGGGCAAAGCCAGAGGAAACUCUGGUGGAUAUCCAUAUUGGUCCUUAAAUACAUUUAUUAUCUUAUUUAUUUAUUUGACUGUUUCCUAUAUGCUGCACUGCUCCCUCCCCUUUCCUCCUGCACUUUUCCCCUUCCCCCUCCACUGCACUUGGCGUGAUCUCAAUGUCACCUGGCCUAGUAGGAUCGCUGUCUUUGUCUUCCCUCUCUUCCCCUCUCUUGCCUCGUCGCACCUUAAAACACUUGUGUAUAGGUGCGUUAUGAAUGCCAUAUCAUAUCCUGACGGGAAAAUCGGUCAUCCGACCUGGCUAUAGGGGCGCAAGACUAAUCGAACCAUCUAGUAGCUGGUUCCCUCUGAAGUUUCCCUCAGGAUUGCUGGCGCACGGAACCCCAGUUUUAACUGGUAAAGCGCAUGAUUAGAGGUCUUGGGACCGAAAUGAUCUUAACCUAUUCUCAAACUUUAAAUGGGUAAGAAGCCCAGCUCACUGGCGUGGUGCUGGGCAUCGAUUUCAAUGCCCAAUUGCCACCUCUGGUUAGCAGAACUGGUGCUGUGGGAUGAACCGAACACUGUGUUAAGGCGCCAGAUGCAGGCGCUUCAUCGGACCCCAGAAAAGGUGUUGGUUGAUACAGACAACAGGACGGUGGCCAUGGAAGUGGGAAUCCGCUAAGGAGUGUGUAACAACCAAACCAACCUACCGAAGCAACUAGCCCUGAAAAUGGAUGGCGCUGGAGGGUUUGGCCCAUACCCGGCCGGCGCUGAUAGCUGCGGGGGCCUAAGCCGUGGCGAGUAGGAUGGGUGCGCACAGAAGCCCGGGUCGAGGGCCCGGUUGGAGCCGCUGCAGGUUCAGAUCUUGGUGGUAGUGGCAAAUAUUCAAACAAGCACUUUGAAGGCGGAAGUGGAGAUGGGUUCUAUGUGAACAGCAGUUGGAACAAGGGUCAGUCGGUCCUAAGAAAUGGUUGAGCGCCGUUUGGAAGGGACGGGCGAUGGCCUAUGUUGCCCUCAGCUGAUCGAAAGGGAGUGGGGUUCAGAUCCCCAGACCCAGAGUGGCGGAGACAGACCCCCUCGCGGAGUCCAGUGCGGUAACGCAACAAUCCCAGAGAAGCUGGCGGGAUUGCCAGGGAGAGUUCUGUUUUCUUUGUGAUGGGGAGGGCACCCUGGAAUGGGUUCACCCCCUAGAGAGGGCCCGAGCCUUGCAAAGCAAUGUGAUUCCGGUGGCAUCUGGUGAGCUCUCGCUGGUCCUUGAAAAUCCGUGGGAGAUGGUGUAAAUCUUGCACUGGGCCGUACCCAUAUUUGCAGCAGUUCUCCAAGGUGAACAGCCUCUAGCAUGUUGGAACAAUGUAGGUAAGGGAAGUUAGCAAGUUAGAUCCGUAACUUUGGGAAGGGCUGGGUCAGUUGGGAUGGGGUGCAAAGCGGGGCUGGCUGCGUGCCGCGACUGGACGAGGCGUCUUCACCCAUUAGCCCCCGGGGGCGGCGCUGACUCUGGAUGUGAGCCAGGCCCUUCCUGUGGAUUGCCCCAGCUGCAGUGGUCGCCUCUCUCCGUUCCCAUCCUGGGUUUCUGGGGCGGCAUUCUGCCUCGGCCGACGCCGAGCAGCUGACUUAGAACUGGUGCAGACCAGGGGAAUCAGACUGUUAAAUUAAAACAAAGCAUUGCAUAAGGCCUAUGGUGGGUGUUGACGCAUUGUGAUUACUGCCCAGUACUCUGAAUGUCAAAGUGAACAAAUCCAACGAAGCUCGGGUAAAUGGUCAGAGUAACUAUGACUCUCUUAAGGUAGCCAAAAUGCCUCAUAGUCUAAUUGGUGACGUACAUGAAUGGAUGAAUCCAAUUCCCACUAUCCCUACCUACUAUCUAGCGAAACCACAGCCAAGGGAACAGGCUUGGCAGAAUCAGUGAGGACAGAAGACCCAGUUGAGAUUCACUCUAGUCUGGCAUUGUGAAGAGGCAUGAGAGGUGCAGGAUAAGUGGGAGACCUUCGGGCCGCCGGAGAAAUACCACUACUCUUAUCGUUUUUUCACUUACCUGGUGAGGCGGGGGGGCGAGCCCCAUGGGACUCUCGCUUCUGGCUCCAAUUGCCCGGCUGGUGCAACCCGCUACAGGGACAGUGUCAGGUGGGGAGUUUGGCUAGGGCGGUACAUCUGACAAACCAUAACGGCGGUGUCCUAAGGCGAGAUCAGAAACCACCCACGGAGCAGAAGGGCAAAUGCUUGUUUGAUCUCAAUUUUCAGUAUGAAUACAGGCCGUGAAAGCGGGGCCUCAGGAUCCUUCUGAAUUUUUGGGUUUCAAGCACAAGGUUUCAGAAGAGUUACGACAGGGAUAACUGGCUUGUAGCAGCCAAGUGUUCAUAGCAACGUCGCUUUUUGAUCCUUCGAUGUGAAGCACAAUUCACCAAGCGUUGGAUUGUUCACCCACUAAUAGGGAACAUGAGCUGGGUUUAAACCGUCCUGAGACAGGUUGAUUUUACCCUACUGAUGAUGUGUUGUUGCAGCAGUAAUACUGCUCAGUAUGAGCAGAACCACAGGUUCAGACAGUUGGUGUAUGUACUUGGCUGAGAAGCCAAUGGGGCAAAGCUACCAUCUGUGGGAUUAUGACUGAACGCUUCUAAGUCAGAAUCCCCCUAACCGUAACAGUACCGCAGUGCUGUGGAGCCUCGAUUGGCCUAGGAUACCCGGCCUCCGGGCUGGUACAUAGAGCCGCUCGCCUCGGCACUCCGAGUGUGAACAGAAGGGGGCCACCUCUUUCGCCUGUAGUGCACCGCAU